UACAGAGGGUGCGAGCGUUGUCCGGAAUCACUGGGCGUAAAGGGCGCGUAGGCGGUCUCUUAAGCGUGUGGUGAAAGCCCGGGGCUCAACUCCGGGUCGGCCGUGCGAACUGGGGGACUGGAGCUUGUCAGAGGCAGGCGGAAUUCCGGGUGUAGCGGUGGAAUGCGUAGAUAUCAGGAGGAACACCGGUGGCGAAGGCGCUCAUCUGGCCCAAUACUGACGCUGAGGCGCGAAAGCUAGGGGAGCAAACGGG
rnacentral:rRNA from 1 species